rnacentral:rRNA from 1 species
AACGAACGUUGGCGGCGUGGAUUAGGCAUGCAAGUCGAACGAAUCCCGGUAGCAAUAUCGGGGGAAGUGGCGAAAGGGGCAGUAAGGCGUGGGUAACCUACCCCGAGGACCGGGAUAGCCACUCUAACGAGUGGGUAAUACCGGGCGCGGUAUCGGAGGGGCAUCUCUCUGGUAUGGAAGGUCCGCCGCCUCGGGAGGGGCUCACGUAGUAUUAGCUAGUUGGUGAGGUAACGGCUCACCAAGGCGAAGAUGCUUAGCGGGUGUGAGAGCACGACCCGCGCCACUGGCACUGAGACACUGGCCAGACACCUACGGGUGGCAG